CUGAACUUAAGCAUAUCAAUAAGCGGAGGAAAAGAAACCAACAGGGAUUGCCCCAGUAACGGCGAGUGAAGCGGCAACAGCCCAGAUUUGAAAUCGGGACGCCCCGCGCGGCCUGAGUUGUAAUCUGUGGAUUGGGCCCCUGACGAAGCGCCCGCCGAGUUCCCUGGAACGGGACGCCGCAGAGGGUGAGAGCCCCGUACGGCGGUGCGUCGAGUCUCUAUGGGGCCCCUUCGGAGAGUCGCGUAGUUUGGGAUCGCUGCGCAAAGUGGGAGGUAUAUCUCUUCUAAGGCUAAAUACCGGCUGGAGACCGAUAGCGCACAAGUAGAGUGAUCGAAAGAUGAAAAGCACCUUGAAAAGGGGGUUAAACAGUACGUGAAAUUGCUAAGGGGGAAGCGUUUUUGGCCAGACUCGCGCCAUGGCAGAUCACCUAGCUUCCCGCUGGGGCACUCUGCCUGGCUCGGGCCAGCGCCAGCUCGGCGCGGGGGAGAGAGCUUCUGGGAACGUAGCCCCCCACGGGGGGUGUUAUAGACCAGUUAGUUGUACCCUGCGACCGGGCUGAGGCUCGCGCACCGCAAGGGCGCUGGCGUAAUGGCCAUCAGCGGCCCGUCUUGAAACACGGACCAAGGAGUCGUCCUCGCAUGCGAGUGUUCGGGUGUCAAACCCCUACGCGUAAUGAAAGUGAACGUUGGUGGGAGCCUCGGCGCACCGUCGACCGAUCCUGAUGUCCUCGGAUGGAUUUGAGUAUGAGCAUGCGGGGCCGGACCCGAAAGAGGGUGAACUAUGCGUGUGUAGGGUGAAGCCAGAGGAAACUCUGGUGGAGGCUCGCAGCGGUUCUGACGUGCAAAUCGAUCGUCAAACAUGCGCAUGGGGGCGAAAGACUAAUCGAACCUUCUAGUAGCUGGUUUCUGCCGAAGUUUCCCUCAGGAUAGCAGUGCUGGUCUCAGUUUUAUGAGGUAAAGCGAAUGAUUAGGGACUCGGGGGCUAUUUUUUGCCUUCAUCCAUUCUCAAACUUUAAAUAUGUAAGAAGCCCUUGUUACUUAGUUGAACGUGGGCGCUUGAAUGCAGCAGCACUAGUGGGCCAUUUUUGGUAAGCAGAACUGGCGAUGC
rnacentral:rRNA from 1 species